AUGAUAAGAGCAAACCAUCUGAAAAGGUGGGGCGCAAAGCUAUAAGGGACUAAAGGAAAUACAUGGUAUUUCCAAUGUCAGCCAGUUGCCG
rnacentral:ncRNA from 1 species